AUACACUUUAAAUAACAACUGACAUAAAAUUUAUCACUUUUUUUAAUUGUGGUAUUACUGUUAAAUUUUUUUGAAAUAUGUUUUUUUUUUUUUAGUUUACAAAGUUAUAUAUAUAUAUACAUAUAUACAUAUUCGUAUUUGUACAUAUGUAUAUAAAAUUGUGUGUUUUUUUUUUUAUAUUUUUUUUUUGAAGCAUACUUAAGUCUGAAUAUUCGUUUGUAAAACAUUUAUGUAAUAAAAAAAACACUAUAAAUAUUGGAAAAAACAUUUUUUUUUUUUUUUUUUUUUGUUAAUCUUAUUAUGGAAAGGAGUUAUAAAAAACCUGUUUAUUCCAAUAGAAAUAAAAUAAAAGAAAUCGAAAAGAGUUGCGAAGAUAGUUUGAACGAAAUAUUAAGGUCGGCUAUUGAAGUUACUGAAAUUUCUAAAAAGGCAGAAGAAGAAUUAGAACAACAAACAGAACAGAUAAAACAUAUCAAUGAUGAAACUGACAUUAUUAAAGAUAAAUUAAACCAAAGCCAAUAUCAUUUAGAGGGUAUAAAAUAUUGGUGGAGAAGUAUCAAUUCGUAUUUAGGGUUGGAAACUCUUAAUAAUAAUGAAAAUAAACAAACAAAUAAUUCAGACACUAAUUAUGCAAAAAAGGGAAGAGUUCAUACAAAUAAUAAAAAUACUACUGUAAAAAAUUAUAACAGAAUUUAUGAAAAUACACAGAAUAUUAAAGAAAAUCAAUCAGAAAAAAAAAGCUUCGAUGAGAAAUAUGAAAGCGAAUUAAACACCCUUUCUUCUAUAUUGGACGAACUGCAUGAUAGGGCGUUGGUUAUGGGGAACACAAUUAACGAGCAGAACAAACUAGUAAGUAAAAAACGGCAGAAAUAUAUAUAUAUAUAUGUCCGUGUGUGUAUAUGUAUACAUUUUUAUUUAUUUAUAUAUGAAUCGCAUGUGGAUAAGUCAAUCACAUGAUACUUAUAUAUUUAUAAGUUUGUUUGUUUUUAAUAUUAUAUAAUUAUUUUAAAUAGUUCUAUAAUUUUUUUUCCAUCUAAAAUCAUACACGCAUACGAGCGCACACAAAUUUUCAAUUUCAUGUAGAAUAUAUACAAUGCUUUUCUUUUUAUAUCAUUCGAUUCUGUUUUGUAUCAUGUUGUUCCUUUUCAUGUUGUUCCGUUUUAUGUUGUUUCGUUUUAUGUUGUCCCGUUUCAUAUUGCCCCGUCCCAUGUUGCACCGUUUCAUGUUACCCCAUUCCAUUUUGAUCUUUUUUCUUUUAUAUUAUAAAAUUAUAGUUAACUGGUGUAAAUGAAAAAAUGGAACAUAACAUAGAAAAGAUACAGGAUCAGCAAAAAUUAAUGAAAGAAAUAAUGAAAAAAUAAAUGUGUUACACAUUAUAUUAAUUCA
rnacentral:lncRNA from 1 species